CUUUCUCUGUCUGUCGUG
rnacentral:miRNA from 1 species